GACGAACGCUGGCGGCGUGCUUAACACAUGCAAGUCGAACGCUGAAGCACCAGCUUGCUGGUGUGGAUGAGUGGCGAACGGGUGAGUAAUACGUGAGUAACCUGCCCUUGACUCUGGGAUAAGCCCGGGAAACUGGGUCUAAUACUGGAUGCUACAUGUCACCGCAUGGUGGUGUGUGGAAAGGGUUUACUGGUCUUGGAUGGGCUCACGGCCUAUCAGCUUGUUGGUGAGGUAAUGGCUCACCAAGGCGACGACGGGUAGCCGGCCUGAGAGGGUGACCGGCCACACUGGGACUGGGACACGGCCCAGACUCCUACGGGAGGCAGCAGGGGGGAAUAUUGCACAAUGGGCGAAAGCCUGAUGCAGCGACGCCGCGGGAGGGAUGACGGCCUUCGGGUUGUAAACCUCUUUCAGCAGGGAAGAAGCCACAAGUGACAGUACCUGCAGAAGAAGCGCCGGCUAACUACGUG
rnacentral:rRNA from 1 species